UGGGGAAUUUUGGACAAUGGGCGAAAGCCUGAUCCAGCAAUGCCGCGUGUGUGAAGAAGGCCUUCGGGUUGUAAAGCACUUUUGUCCGGAAAGAAAUCCUUGGCUCUAAUACAGUCGGGGGAUGACGGUACCGGAAGAAUAAGCACCGGCUAACUACGUGCCAGCAGCCGCGGUAAUACGUAGGGUGCAAGCGUUAAUCGGAAUUACUGGGCGUAAAGCGUGCGCAGGCGGUUUGCUAAGACCGAUGUGAAAUCCCCGGGCUCAACCUGGGAACUGCAUUGGUGACUGGCAGGCUAGAGUAUGGCAGAGGGGGGUAGAAUUCCACGUGUAGCAGUGAAAUGCGUAGAGAUGUGGAGGAAUACCGAUGGCGAAGGCAGCCCCCUGGGCCAAUACUGACGCUCAUGCACGAAAGCGUGGGGAGCAAACAGGAUUAGAUACCCUGGUAGUCCACGCCCUAAACGAUGUCAACUAGUUGUUGGGGAUUCAUUUCCUUAGUAACGUAGCUAACGCGUGAAGUUGACCGCCUGGGGAGUACGGUCGCAAGAUUAAAACUCAAAUGAAUUGACGGGGUCAUAGCUGUUUCCU
rnacentral:rRNA from 1 species